CCGUAGCUAACGCUUUAAGUACCCCGCCUGGGGAGUACGGCCGCAAGGCUAAAACUCAAAGGAAUUGACGGGGCCCCGCACAAGCGGCGGAGCAUGCGGAUUAAUUCGAUGCAACGCGUAGAACCUUACCUGGGUUUGACAUGGAUCGGGAGUGCUCAGAGAUGGGUGUGCCUCUUUUGGGGUCGGUUCACAGGUGGUGCAUGGCUGUCGUCAGCUCGUGUCGUGAGAUGUUGGGUUAAGUCCCGCAACGAGCGCAACCCUUGUUCACUGUUGCCAGCACGUUAUGGUGGGGACUCAGUGGAGACCGCCGGGGUCAACUCGGAGGAAGGUGGGGAUGACGUCAAGUCAUCAUGCCCCUUAUGUCCAGGGCUUCACGCAUGCUACAAUGGCUGGUACAGAGAGUGGCGAGCCUGUGAGGGUGAGCGAAUCUCGGAAAGCCGGUCUCAGUUCGGAUUGGGGUCUGCAACUCGACCUCAUGAAGUCGGAGUCGCUAGUAAUCGCAGAUCAGCAACGCUGCGGUGAAUACGUUCCCGGGGCUUGUACACACCGCCCGUCAAGUCAUGAAAGUUGGUAACACCCGAAGCCGGUGGCCUAACCGUUGUGGGGGAGCCGUCGAAGGUGGGACUGGUGAUUAGGACUAAGUCGUAACAAGGUAACCAAGGGCGAAU
rnacentral:rRNA from 1 species